rnacentral:rRNA from 1 species
CUCUGCCUACGGGGCGCAGCAGUAGGGAAUCUUCCACAAUGGGCGAAAGCCUGAUGGAGCAACGCCGCGUGUGUGAAGAAGGUCUUCGGAUCGUAAAACCCUGUUGUUAGAGAAGAAAGUGCGUGAGAGUAACUGUUCACGUUUCGACGGUAUCUAACCAGAAAGCCACGGCUAACUACGUGCCAGCAGCCGCGGUAAUACGUAGGUGGCAAGCGUUAUCCGGAUUUAUUGG